UACGAAGGGGGCUAGCGUUGCUCGGAAUUACUGGGCGUAAGGGCGCGUAGGCGGACAGUUUAGUCAGAGGUGAAAGCCCAGGGCUCAACCUUGGAAUUGCCUUUGAUACUGGCUGUCUUGAGUUCGGGAGAGGUGAGUGGAAUGCCGAGUGUAGAGGUGAAAUUCGUAGAUAUUCGGAAGAACACCAGUGGCGAAGGCGGCUCACUGGUCCGGUACUGACGCUGAGGUGCGAAAGCGUGGGGAGCAAACAGG
rnacentral:rRNA from 1 species